rnacentral:rRNA from 1 species
UACGUAGGGUGCAAGCGUUAAUCGGAAUUACUGGGCGUAAAGCGUGCGCAGGCGGUUUUGUAAGUCUGUCGUGAAAUCCCCGGGCUUAACCUGGGAAUGGCAUUGGUGACUGCACGGCUAGAGUGUGUCAGAGGGGGUAGAAUUCCACGUGUAGCAGUGAAAUGCGUAGAGAUGUGGAGGAAUACCGAUGGCGAAGGCAGCCCCCUGGGAUAACACUGACGCU